AAGCUCGUCAAGCAGCAACUGCAAGACUGGCGCAAAAGAACGCGUUCAUUUCUUCAAUGUGUUUUUCAAGAGCAAAAGCAUUUACACUAUGAGAGGAUUUACAAGUAACAACACUCAAAAUGUACAAUCGUGUCAUUCUUCUCUGUACUGACCACGAAUACAAACUGUGUUGAACCUUUUUCGCUCUGUGGAAGAGCAAACUGACUGAGGCGUUGAACAACAGAAGGGGCGGCAGCAGCUCAACCCCCAGCAUUUGGGUACUCAGGACGUGCAUUUGUGGUCAAAUAUCCAUCAAAAACACAGAUGGUUGGUAUUUGUAGUAUACAGGAACUAUUCACGGAUUGCUCCCCACAACCUCCAACAAGGCUUUGCACUCUGGAGCUCACUAUUAAAGUGGGCCUUUUAAGGUAACUGAUCAGCUUGCACAAUUGAUAACUUCAGCUUCCCAGUUGGGCCUUGAUAUACAUUGUUCGCACUCUUCAAGAACUCUACCUCCACGUGACCUAUAUUUAUCAUAUCAGUCAUAGCAGGAGGCAAUCCCCAAUAAAAAACGAGAUUGGGCUCGGAUGCAUCAACGUCAACAUACUCUGUUGGGUUGGGGUCACAAAACCCCAGCAACUCCUCCAGUUUGAUAAUUAGGCAGCGAAAGCGUGAUUUGACACAACCCACCCAGUCACCUAGCUCAUCUUUAUCAGAAGCUGAGAGGAAAAUUUUGACAAACUUCUCAUAUUUUCUUGGAUAAGGAUAGGGCUCAAACAGGUUAUUCCAAUCAAAAUCUGGCCUUAAAAUAUCCUUAGUCAGUGUAUGCCCUCUCAGCAACUCACUCUUGAUUAUGAAAAAUGUACUUCGGACCGUGUUUGAAUGACAAAAUUGAUAUGGGCUACACGGUAACUGGAUUGGCAUCCACAAAACUUUAUCCGUGGGAAUAAAUGGCCAAGCAACUCCAUCUUGUAAAAUUACUGGAGUCGGCCAAGGCCAAAAGGCAAAUGUUUUGAAGAAAAUAAAAAAAAGUGCACUCAAGCUGGCUGUUGGAUGCCUUUGACAGAUGAAUGCUGAAAGCACUGCUAGAUGAACUCCUCCAAAGAAUCCAAGCAAAUUCCCAUAAACUCCUCGUUUCUUUGCCCAUAGUUUAACACAACGCAGAACUGCCUGAAAUAUCUCUACAUUUGGCACAAGUUGAAGAAUUCUCCUAUUUGCACGAACACCAGACAGACUUUUCCAACUCUUGUCAUCAAUAUUCUUCAAGAAGAACGGAUUGAAUACAUCCACAUCCUCAGGUAUGGAUAUUACUUUUAGUCGUGCAUAUGGAAGAUCAAUAGAGAUCCCUUCAAAUUUGAAUCUCAUCAGAGGAACCUUCGCACCUUUGACACAGUGAAUACCUGAUACUUCUGGUCUGCUCGCGAGAAUGUUGCGCAGAACAAUGAAAAAGUCUUCUUCUAUUGUUGCAAAGCACGGUCCAACACAUAAUGCAUCAAUAUCAGACUCCGAAUUAUGAACCUGAAAAGAAUAGAACAAGUCAAGACGGCGAGGAACCUGCAACUUUGAAAGUAUUUUCUGCAUCAACUUGCAGCUGUUAUAUUAAAAGUGGAAGAGAAGUAAACAGUAAAAUUGCAAUCUCCCGGGGCAUGGAUUGGUAGUGUUCAGUUACAGGUUAAAAUAGAACCACAUGUACAAAUGUCAGUUUCAAUGCUGUAUCGCUGAAAGUACAUUCCCUCUUAGAAAGACUUUCAACUUGAAACUGCAUUUUGCAACAAGAAUCCGUCAGUUUGAUAACAAGAACACAAAUUAUUACCCACAGAUCUGCCAUCAUACUACUGCAUUCUCCAACCAAACAAAAUAGAGGAAACUGUCAAGUAAUGAAUUAAGACUUACUCCUAGACCAUAUGAUCCAUAUGUCAAUAUUGUGCCAGAGGCAAACCUGAGGUAUCUUUCUGGAAGAGCGUGAUGGUAAGACACUGUCUGGACCCAUUCCCUCACUAUCUUUUUGAGCUUGUGAAUAGCAUUUCUCCUCUUCAUUUCCUCCUCUAGCGAAGGCACUAACCCUUCAGCGCCCAUAAUCUGAAAGAGUGACAUUGACCUUUCCAUUUCCAUUCGUAGAAUCGCAUCUUGGUUUCCCCCAAAACCCAAAACCCCACCAGGAUGGGGUACCUGAUAAUCAAGAUUCAAGUUUGGACGCAACCCAAUUGACCAUCUGGGUAGAUAUGUAUACACAUGUCGAGGAUCAACCAAUUGUUGCCUUUCAAUAUACCCAAAUUCCAUGCACAAAUGUUCAAUUGGAAUUCAGGAAGAUGAAGUAUGAAAAGGUUAAGGGAAAAGAAACAAACAAAAAACCCUUAUUAGAGAGGAAGAGGAAAAGGGUUUAGUAAGGGGGAAAAUAUGAA
rnacentral:misc_RNA from 1 species